UCCCAGGUAGCUUAAUGGUAAAGCACCCAACCGGCAAUUGGGGGAUCUGGGCUCAAGUCUCGGUCCGGGCU
rnacentral:tRNA from 1 species